rnacentral:rRNA from 2 species
GGAGGAAAAGAACUAACAAGGAUUCCCCUAGUAACUGCGAGUGAAGCGGGAAAAGCUCAAAUUUAAAAUCUGGCGGUCUUUGGCCGUCCGAGUUGUAAUCUAGAGAAGUGAUGCCCGCGCUGGACCGUGUACAAGUCUCCUGGAAUGGAGCGUCAUAGAGGGUGAGAAUCCCGUCUCUGACACGGACUACCAGGGCUUUGUGGUAUGCUCUCAAAGAGUCGAGUUGUUUGGGAAUGCAGCUCAAAAUGGGUGGUAAAUUCCAUCUAAAGCUAAAUAUUGGCGAGAGACCGAUAGCGAACAAGUACCGUGAGGGAAAGAUGAAAAGAACUUUGGAAAGAGAGUUAAACAGUACGUGAAAUUGCUGAAAGGGAAACGCUUGAAGUCAGUCGCGUUGGCCGGGGAUCAGCCUCGCUCUUUUGCGUGGUGUACUUUCUGGUUGACGGGUCAGCAUCAAUUUUGACCGCUGGAAAAAGGCUUGAGGAAUGUGGCAGCUCCGGCUGUGUUAUAGCUUCAUGUCACAUACAGCGGUUGGGAUUGAGGAACUCAGCACGCCGCAAGGCCGGGUUUCGACCACGUUCGUGCUUAGGAUGCUGGCAUAAUGGCUUUA